UAUAAUGUAGUAUAAUAAAUAUGGAAUAAGUUGGAAAUAAUUUUCCUUGGGCAAUUUGAAGACAUCAGUCAAUUGUCCUCUAGCUUCCAGUGUUGCUGUUGAGAAGUCAUAAAAAUUCCCAAUCUUUUGUUUGUGACUGAUUUUUUUCUGGAAGCUCUUCCCUUUGAUCCUAGAGUUCUAACAUUUCUUGAUGACAUGACUUGUGCUGGCCUCUGUUGCCCAUUUUUCUGGCCCACUUUGUGGGCUUUGUUAGAUUAAUUAAACAAGGAGGCCAUCAGGCUGAGGCUCUAAAGCUUUCCUGGUCUAGUAAGCAAAUCAAUACCUAAGCUGUCAAUGCCUCAAGGUUAAGAAAGCGAAAUCCAAGGACAACCAAUCACAAUCAGCCAAUGAGGCUUUAAGCUCCAGCCAAUCAAAUGAUUUCCUUUAUUAGCUUCUGCACCUUCUCUAAGUGUCUCUCCCCUGGCUCCUUUCCGUGGAACCCUCCUAACCACUUCCAGUUUGGCACUGCCUGAUUCGAAUUGAGUUUUGCUCAAAUAAACUCAUAAAAUUUGUAAGAUGUCUCAGUUUAUCUUUUUAACAGUUUUUACUCUGAAAACCCAUAUGUGUUAAUUCUAAGACAUUUUCUUGAAUUUAUUUGUUUAGUGGUUUUUUCCACUUUGUCCUUCCAACAUUACCCAGAUAUUGGACAUACUGGACUGUUUCUCUAAUUUUUCCAACUUAUCACUCCUAUUUUCCUUCUCUUUGAAUAUUUGCUCUACUCUCUGGGAGAUUUGUACAGCCGUAUCUUCCAAACAUUCUAAGUUUCCUCUAAGAAACCUCCAGUAAUCUCCCAGGCUGGGAGAUAUCCUAAAUUUGAAUCUUCAAAAUCUUUAUUUAGAAUAAUGAGAAUAUUUUGACUGAUAAGAAUUGGAACUUACUAUCAAUUUUGUCAACAACGUGUUGGGAUUUAGACCAGAAGGAAGAGAAAACCAUUGCAUUGUUCAUUUGGCCCUCAAGGCAGGACAUCAGGUCCCAUAACUAGAACAGAAAGCAAAGUAAAAGACAAACAUGAACCAAACAAACAAACAAAGGUCAAAAGAAGAAAGAGGUCAAUAUUGUCAUCAGACAAAGUUCAAGGCAAAAUAGACCUCUAAGCAAAAUAAAAACAUUAUUUUACAUAGAUAAAAGGUUACAUCCUAAAAUGAAGGUGUAUAGUGUCAACCAUUAAUUUAAAAGCAUUUACAUUACAUUUUCACUAUUAAGUAAUGUUAAAAAAUGAUUAAAGAAGACAAUUUAGGUGAUACAUAGAAACUUUAUUUAACACUUCAUCAGGUGGACAGUCUCCUUUCAGAGAAUUACAAGGUGGGGCAGAAAGCAGGCAGCUUUUAUAGGAUAAAGAACAAGACAGAGAAAAAGAGAAAACAUCUGAUUGGCUGGGGCCACGUGGUCACCUUGUUGGGGGUGAGAAGGCCCAGAGUUGGCCUGGCAUUUGGAGCCUGGCUGAUUGGCUAUACUGUGUCUCUGGUCAAGCGGGGCAUUCACGGGGACAUGAAGUGAUCUGAGUUUCCGUUUACUGAUGGAGCACCCGGGGCAGGAGCUGCUCCAUCUUGGGCCUAGAAAUUAAUUUCAACAGUAAUUACUUCAUUAUUAAGUUAUUACAUGCAGAUGCGAGCUCUGGCAUUGCUGCACCCAUCUUGUCACACCUGAAGAUGAAACCUACACAAAGAAAAGGGUAGAACCAAGAGAACAGAAGAGAAAUAAAACUACAACAAUCAGAUUGUCUCGUUUGGAACCUUUCCCAUCUGUGGAUUUCCAGUCACGUGAGUCUAUCUGGGCCUGAUAUCCAAGACGGCUCACUCACAUGGCUGAGAAUCCAUGCUGGGUGUCAGCUGGGAGCUCGGCUAGGGCUGUUGACUGGAAUGGAUACAUGUGGCCUCUCCAGCACGACUGUCUCAGGGUGGUUGAACUUUUUACGUGGUGCCUGGCUUAUUAGAGAGCAGGGUCCCAAGAAAAGCAUGGGGAAGUGGCAUGGUCUUUUCUGAGCUAGCUUCAGCAGUCACUCUUCUCAGAUUCUAUUGAUUAUUAAUGAGGCGUAAGGCCAGCCCAAAUUGAAGGGGGAGGACAUUUAGACUCAUCUGUGGCAAAGUCAUACUGUGGAAGAGCAUAUGGGAUGGGAGAUAUGUUGUCACCCUAUGGAGAAUAAAUUUUGCCACAACUCAUUUAUUUAAUUUUUAAAAAUUACUUUUUACUGUACUGUCUCACAUGUGGAAUCUAAAAAAAUCCAAACUCAUGUAAAAAGAGAUCAGACAUGUGAUUACCAGAGGUGGAAGAGGGUUGAGAGGGGGAAUUGGAGGGAGGUGGUCAAAAGGCACACAUUUUCAGUUAUAAGAUAAACAAGUACUAGUGAUGGAACGUACAACAUGAUGACUAUAGUUAACACCGUUUUCUGAUACACAGGAAAUUUAUUAAGAGAGUAGAUCCUAAAAGUUCUCAUCACAAGGAGAAAAAUUUUUUUCUUUUCUUCUUUCUUUUCUUUCUAUUGUAUCUAUAGGAGACAAUGGAUAUUAGCGGAACCUACUGCGAUAAUCAUUUCCCAAUAUAUGUAAAUCAAGUCAGCAUGCUGUAUACCUUAAACUUGCACAGUGAUGUCUAUCAAUCAUUUCUCAGUAAAACUGGAAAAAUAUUUUUAAUCACUCUGCAGUGCCAGG
ensembl:lncRNA